AGUGAACGCUGGCGGUAGGCCUAACACAUGCAAGUCGAACGGCAGCACAGUAAGAGCUUGCUCUUACGGGUGGCGAGUGGCGGACGGGUGAGGAAUACAUCGGAAUCUACUUUUUCGUGGGGGAUAACGUAGGAAAACUUACGCUAAUACCGCAUACGACCUACGGGUGAAAGCAGGGGAUCUUCGGACCUUGCGCGAUUGAAUGAGCCGAUGUCGGAUUAGCUAGUUGGCGGGGUAAAGGCCCACCAAGGCGACGAUCCGUAGCUGGUCUGAGAGGAUGAUCAGCCACACUGGAACUGAGACACGGUCCAGACUCCUACGGGAGGCAGCAGUGGGGAAUAUUGGACAAGGGGCGCAAGCCUGAUCCAGCCAUACCGCGUGGGUGAAGAAGGCCUUCGGGUUGUAAAGCCCUUUUGUUGGGAAAGAAAAGCAGCAGGUUAAUACCCCGCUGUUCUGACGGUACCCAAAGAAUAAGCACCGGCUAACUUCGUG
rnacentral:rRNA from 1 species